GUGCUCCAUUUGGGGAAGGAAGAAUCCUCCCAGGCUUCUGGACCAGAUCCCCCCAGCUGGUGUAAAUAAAAAAGCGCUAGACUGGUUUACUCUAGCUGCAGCUGCUGUAAAAUACUUUUCCCAAAGCAUUUUCCUGCCAAGUUGUUUUUCUUUUUCUACCUUCCCCCAACUUAAAAUGUCAUUGCUCAAAUCCAGACACACAGCCCAGUCGGCAACUAGCAGCCAGCAGGAUGGCUAAGAAACAUCAGACCCAGGCUGAGUUCAGAGAUAGAAAUGCUGUGCUUCUCAUGAAUAAGUCCAACCUGUUCUCUUUCUCAGCACUUCCAAUACCCUUCCUCCAGAGCACACCACAAGUAUCCCUCAAAGGCACAGGGCUGUUGGACCUGACAGCUGGCAGAUGUGCCAGAUCAAGCUGGAAGGAGGAGCAUCAUCUUAAAGGACGCCUCUAGCGCUGGCAUGUGCAGCUCUCUCAAUGUCCCUGCUAAGCCCCAAUGCCUUCGGUGUCAUGGUGCAGCACUGACAUGGGGAUGGCCACACCAGCUGGAAGGCAUGGACCUGGGCUGAAGGGGCCUCCUUAAGCAUUUCUGCUGCUGCUGGCUAGGAUAGCUGUGAUCUUGAAAACCAGAAUAAUUAUAUUGUCUGAUGUUACGUGGAGCAUGUAGCAGUGAUCAGUAGAAUUGAAGUGCUUUGGAAGUGAAGUUGCAACAAACCUUCCUGUUGCAGUGAAUGGACACAUUCAAUAAUAUUCUGGAUAAAGAAGCUGGGAAGAGGCGCUACUAAUAAUUGUGAAGGAUGUCAUGAAAGAAGAACUGAUGUGUUUAAACAUAUGGGCUGGGAUUCCUCUCACCUCACCCAUCAUGUAAAUUAGGUAAGUGCUCAUGUUAGGUCUCUCUGUAGUCUGUGCAGAAGCAAGUUUCUUCCAGAAGAUGAUUUGUCCUGUCCCAAAGGGAGCUGCACUGCUUGGUGUUGCAGACCUGGGAGAGUAAGGAGCCUUCCUUGUAUUCUUCCAUGGAAGAGCUGUAGUCUUACCAAAAGCCAUGGGACUUCAUCUGUGACAUCCUCUAACAAUGUAAGCAGAUUCAUGAGCCACUUAUGGGUGGACUGAAAAAUGUAUCUAUUGCAUCACCAAAGUAGAGGGUAGGCUCUCCAGCAUAAGGUUGGAGUAGAAAAUAGUAUUUUUUCUGCCCAUUUCCUGAUCAGUUACUGUUGCUUUGCAUCACUGCCUGGUUUGGGGAUUUUUUCCCUUCUGUUUUGGAGGAGUGUAAGUGUAUUUUACAUCUUGAAGCACCUGGAUUAUCACCAGCUUGCAGAGACAGAGAUGGGCUGGGAUAUAGAAGCAGGCAUUGUUUCGGGCUGGACUCAUGCUCUGCUCCCACUGUUUUGCUCAUGCUCAGUUGGGCCAGGAUGAAAGCAUCACUUGAUUGGAAGGUGUUAUCUUUUUCCAGGCUGGGGAUCCCAGCGUGCCCUUGCAGUGGAAAGUCUCUCACUUGGGUGUCUUGCUAUUUUUUCCCCUGUAUUUUUGAACAGAUGAGGUGAGAAAAAGGCAUCGAUGACAAUAUUUUGUCUUUUACUGCUGGAAGCAAGGAUGAGUUGCUUUAUUUUACCAGACGUGUCUCUGCAGGACCCUGGCAGGUUGUCCACAGACUGCAGUCCAUGAUGGCUGUCCCGGGGAAGGGGAAGGCUGUGACACUACGUGCUGGGGGAGAAGGCUUUUUUUUUCUCUUCUUAUUUCAUAUAUGCCUUUGGAAAGUCUCCCCUGUAAUCACAGCCCUCAUCCUGCUCCCAAGCAUUGCCUUGAGGGCAGCAUGCAAAGCUGAGAUUCCUGCAAGGAGAUGAAGGUUUACUGAUCACAGGUACCUGGGGCUCCAUAGCUCUCCCAGCUCAUCUUGCCAUGUUUAUAAAUGUGUUUGAACUCAGGCUUGCAAGCUGCUAGUCAGAUCUCCUAUGCCA